UACGUAGGGUGCAAGCGUUGUCCGGAAUUACUGGGCGUAAAGAGCUCGUAGGUGGUUUGUCGCGUCGUCUGUGAAAUCCCGGGGAUUAACUUCGGGCGUGCAGGCGAUACGGGCAUAACUUGAGUGCUGUAGGGGAGACUGGAAUUCCUGGUGUAGCGGUGAAAUGCGCAGAUAUCAGGAGGAACACCGAUGGCGAAGGCAGGUCUCUGGGCAGUUACUGACGCUGAGGAGCGAAAGCAUGGGUAGCGAACAGG
rnacentral:rRNA from 1 species